UAGGUUUUAAGGAGAAUGCAACAUGUUCCAGGGCCUCUUACCUGCGUGAUUCAUCAUCCAGGUUUUGCACAAAUUGUCUAAAUCCCUACACACAGAACAUUUAUUGUACCGACUAUAAGCCUUUGAGGUGCAGGACUAGAAUACGCUUGGAGCUUCCUGAUCAGAUCAGUCACAAUUUUGGCUUUCGACGACCCCUGCACUGAAGAUGGCAUGCAAUCACGUCCUCCUUUGAAGGUCUCUCAAACUGUGAUGCCAGGUCCAUUGGAAUCGGGGUUUCCUUCAGCUUAUCUUCAAAUACCUCAUCAAACACAAGCCUGAUCACAUCAUCCACAUAACUGUAGAAAUAUUGCAGUCAAUAAAUCUUUUGUUUUGAUCAUUUAUUUCCCUGCUUCAUACAUUAAGUUUUUAAUUAUGAAUGUAUUUGAAAUAAAACAUUACUGCUUA